CAGAGAUUUAUUCAAUCAAAGAGUACAACAGGGGAAAGGAGCAAAAAGCUAAGGAUGGCAUCCAUUUGUCAAGGUAAGGACUCGUGGCCCGAGUUAGUUGGAGUGUGUGGAGAAAUCGCAGUAAAAACUAUUGAGAAAGAAAACUCUUUGGUCAAUGCUAUUCUUGUUCCACCAGCAAUACCAACUUUUGAUUAUAGAUGCGAUCGAGUAUUUGUUUUCAUUGAUGAAAAAGGCAUCGUUUCAAGGGUGCCUAUGAUCUUCUAGGGUUAAACAAACGGAUGGUCGAAUCCCCACUAUUUCACAUAAUUAGUUUGGAUUUGAAUAAAUCUGAUGUAAAUUAAAAUAUUGUCCAGUUAAUAAGUUAUUUGUGGACGCCAAUAAUGUUUCCUAUGUAAUGUGUGUGUCAGUAAAUAUUGCGGCAAGUUUCAUCUUUGUUCAAAUUUCGUACACCAAUUAGAAACUUGUCCCUUAUAAGAAAUGGUGUCAAUA